rnacentral:misc_RNA from 1 species
GAAUGGCGAAAAAUGAUCCAUAUAACCUUUGGAGUCACUAGGAGGAGGGCGAAAGAGAAGAAGGCUUUCAAUGAUGCAUCAUAAUUGCAAUGUUUUGGUGCAUCUAGGUAAAUAGAAAUGCAAGUUUUUUCAAAAGAUUAACAUAGAUUCGUGCAGUUGUCUAGGAAAGAAUGGUGUUUCUAGUUUCUCUAUGACAUUAGAAAGAAUUACUAAAAGUUCUUACCUUGACCAAUAAACUUCCUGAUAAACAAUCAAAAAUGAAUAUCUUAUCAUAUGCAAGAUUCAUUGUGCAAAAAUGACUUCUCAUUCCAGACUAGUUAAUCAAAAUAAUAGCAACAUAUAGCUAUAACAGAAUUGCAUGCCUUAUGAAACUGAAAAGUGG